CCCGGGAAGGAUGGUUCGCUGGUCUGUGGACCACAUUUUGAAUGAGUAGGAGCAGCAUGAUUCAACUCUGAAGUCAGGAAAGCUCGUUGACACUGACAGAAAUAGGACUUACUGCCCGAUGCAGCAGAAGGGCUGGAGCAUCACUACGGUAUAUUUGAACGAGUCGCAAGGCUUCCUGCAGGAGCAGGGGUUCCAGUGCUGGAAAAUAUGAAGACAAAUCCUAUCCCAGAGCAUGACCCUGAAGUCCAAGUGGAGAAAUUCUGACAGGCGCUUUCCUGGGCCUGGCACAGAAAGACUGGGGCAGGCAGACCUGUGCCUACUCUUCCCAGGGAAGCUGUUUGGUGUCCCUCCCUGACAGCACCAUCUACUUAAGGCCACAAAGCAUUUCUAUUCAUCCUCCUAUUUUUUACAUUGUGACAACAAAUGAGUGAAUUCAUCCGUGGCCAAAUACAUCGAGGAAUCACUGAUAUUUCCAGCAAAGACAAUGACUCAGGGGACUUGUCCUCAACAUAAGAGGGUUUAUUUUAAAAAGUAGCUCAGCCUCACCUCAAUACUAAGAUGUUGGAACAUACCACUACUGUUUGGAAAACAAAUAGCUUAAUGUAAAUAUCACAAAAAUCUGUCUAAAUUUUAACAAGGGGACACACCCAUCAUGCUCAAAUAGCCUCUAAUAGCUCCUGAUAGAACAUAGGCUACAGUGAUUUUAUAUUCAGGCUAAGCUUCUUCAAAUUACCACAAAGAACAAAUGAAUAAAUCAGAACAAUGUAGCAACUGGGGGACUGGUCCAUGUGACACAGAAAAUAGCAUCUGUGGUCUACUUCUUAGCAUUUCAGUCAAAACAGACUCUGGACUAGAGACAGUAUGAGAUAUGAAAGAAUCCAUGUUUUACUGAGUUCUCUCUUUGAUGGCAUGGAAAGAACUGUAUCAGUCCUGUGAGCUAAUGGUCUAGAAAACACACACACACACACACACACACACACACACACACACAUAUACCACACACAUA